UUAAGUUAUUAAGGGCGCACGGUGGAUGCCUUGGCACUAGAAGCCGAUGAAGGACGUUACUAACGACGAUAUGCUUUGGGUAGCUGUAAGUAAGCGUUGAUCCAGAGAUUUCCGAAUGGGGGAACCCAGCAUGAGUUAUGUCAUGUUAUCGACAUGUGAAUUCAUAGCAUGUCAGAAGGCAGACCCGGAGAACUGAAACAUCUUAGUACCCGGAGGAAGAGAAAGAAAAAUCGAUUCCCUGAGUAGCGGCGAGCGAAACGGGAAGAGCCCAAACCAACAAGCUUGCUUGUUGGGGUUGUAGGACACUCUAUACGGAGUUACAAAAGAACAUGUUAGACGAAUCAUCUGGAAAGAUGAAUCAAAGAAGGUAAUAAUCCUGUAGUCGAAAACAUAUUCUCUCUUGAGUGGAUCCUGAGUACGACGGAGCACGUGAAAUUCCGUCGGAAUCUGGGAGGACCAUCUCCUAAGGCUAAAUACUCUCUAGUGACCGAUAGUGAACCAGUACCGUGAGGGAAAGGUGAAAAGUACCCCGGAAGGGGAGUGAAAGAGAACUUGAAACCGUGUGCUUACAAGUAGUCAGAGCCCGUUAAUGGGUGAUGGCGUGCCUUUUGUAGAAUGAACCGGCGAGUUACGAUCUGAUGCAAGGUUAAGCAGCAAAUGUGGAGCCGCAGCGAAAGCGAGUCUGAAUAGGGCGUUGAGUAUUUGGUCGUAGACCCGAAACCAGGUGAUCUACCCUUGGUCAGGUUGAAGUUCAGGUAACACUGAAUGGAGGACCGAACCGACUUACGUUGAAAAGUGAGCGGAUGAACUGAGGGUAGCGGAGAAAUUCCAAUCGAACUUGGAGAUAGCUGGUUCUCUCCGAAAUAGCUUUAGGGCUAGCCUCAAGUGAUGAUUAUUGGAGGUAGAGCACUGUUUGGACGAGGGGCCCCUCUCGGGUUACCGAAUUCAGACAAACUCCGAAUGCCAAUUAAUUUAACUUGGGAGUCAGAACAUGGGUGAUAAGGUCCGUGUUCGAAAGGGAAACAGCCCAGACCACCAGCUAAGGUCCCAAAAUAUAUGUUAAGUGGAAAAGGAUGUGGCGUUGCCCAGACAACUAGGAUGUUGGCUUAGAAGCAGCCAUCAUUUAAAGAGUGCGUAAUAGCUCACUAGUCGAGUGACACUGCGCCGAAAAUGUACCGGGGCUAAACAUAUUACCGAAGCUGUGGAUUGUCCUUUGGACAAUGGUAGGAGAGCGUUCUAAGGGCGUCGAAGCAUGAUCGCAAGGACAUGUGGAGCGCUUAGAAGUGAGAAUGCCGGUGUGAGUAGCGAAAGACGGGUGAGAAUCCCGUCCACCGAUUGACUAAGGUUUCCAGAGGAAGGCUCGUCCGCUCUGGGUUAGUCGGGUCCUAAGCUGAGGCCGACAGGCGUAGGCGAUGGAUAACAGGUUGAUAUUCCUGUACCACCUAGUAUCGUUUUAAUCGAUGGGGGGACGCAGUAGGAUAGGCGAAGCGUGCUGUUGGAGUGCACGUCCAAGCAGUAAGGCUGAGUGUUAGGCAAAUCCGGCACUCAUAAGGCUGAGCUGUGAUGGGGAGAGGAAAUUGUUUCCUCGAGUCGUUGAUUUCACACUGCCGAGAAAAGCCUCUAGAUAGAUAACAGGUGCCCGUACCGCAAACCGACACAGGUAGUCAAGAUGAGAAUUCUAAGGUGAGCGAGCGAACUCUCGUUAAGGAACUCGGCAAAAUGACCCCGUAACUUCGGGAGAAGGGGUGCUCUUUAGGGUUCACGCCCAGAAGAGCCGCAGUGAAUAGGCCCAAGCGACUGUUUAUCAAAAACACAGGUCUCUGCUAAACCGUAAGGUGAUGUAUAGGGGCUGACGCCUGCCCGGUGCUGGAAGGUUAAGAGGAGUGGUUAGCUUCUGCGAAGCUACGAAUCGAAGCCCCAGUAAACGGCGGCCGUAACUAUAACGGUCCUAAGGUAGCGAAAUUCCUUGUCGGG
rnacentral:rRNA from 1 species